AAUAGUGUAAAAUAGAUAUUUAAAAAGACAAAUAAGAAAAAGAAAGGAAAGUAUUUAUUAUUAAAAUUAAGAAGGGAGUUUAAUUUUUAAAAUAAAAUAAAAGAGAAAAAUGAUUUUCUUCCUUUAAAAUUUUGUAUAAAAAAGGAAAAAAGAAGAAGACAUAUAGGGAGAUAAACAGCAAGGCCAAGAGGCCAACACCAAAAAUCUUUUGCCUUGACUUCUUUUCCUCUCUCUAGCUGUCACGCCGCUCCGCCCCUUUCCCCUUUGCUAGUUUAAAUUUGCUAUCUUUAAUUUUAAUUUUCUAUUACUUAAGUUUUAAUUUUCUCUUCUUUCUAUUAUUGUUCGAGAAUAUUUUUAUCUUUUUCUUGAAGCUGUUAUGAUCGUAGAUAUUGAAACAAUUUUUUUUAUUUAUUUAUGUAAAUUGGUUUUCAUCAAUCUAUGGUGAACAAUGGUGACUCUAUUUUAUAUUGAGUUAAAUCGAAGCUAAAGUAAAUUGGACUUUUACUUUCUAAAUAUUUUUCUUUUUGAGUAAAAUUGAUGUCUUUUUAUUGUACACACCAUUAGAAUCAAAUAUUUGUUAUUGUAAAUUUACAGAUAUCAAUAGAUUUUUAAAACUUUGUUAAAAGAAACUUUUCAUGGAAAAGAUUGAAUUGUUUGGAUCUUGUGAUUUCUUUGAAGAUUAUUGAGUUUCAUUAUCUUACGAAAAUUGGUCAUAUAAGAAUGUAAUAGGAGAUUUUGAUAAAGAUAUUUUAGGUAAAGCAUAUUGUUACAAUACCUUUUAAAUUAUAUAUAGGAUACAAUUGGUUUUGCUUUUUAGUAUUAAUUUAUUUUAUCAAAAAUUCAUAGGGGUAAAGUGUAAUUUGAAAUAUUCUUAUAAAAUCGAAACCGAAUCAAUAACCUAAUAAUUUUUUUUUUUAUAAAACCAUUAAAAAAACGUUAACCCAAUAAACCAACAACUCAACAACAAUAAACCAAUAAUAUUUUAUUGGUUCGAUUUAUUGAUCAGUUCAAUUUUUACAUCCCCUAAUGAAAAUCACCCUGUCUUCUAUUGAUGGAGGAAUAAGUGUUAGUCAAUGUUGAUUAGUUGGAAAAAAAUUAAAGAAGAAGGAAGAGGGAAACUACUAAAAAAAGGCCAAAAAGCGACGGCCAAAAGCGACAUCCAGCGUCGCUUUUUUGGUCAAAACCGAAGAAAAAGCGUCGCUUUUUUUUUCACCUCAAAAAGGCCCAUUUAUUUUAAAAUCGACGGUAUGCAUCGCUUUUUUUACGACGGACAACGUCCUUUUUGAAAAAAAAAAUUAGUUACUUUUAAAAAAAGCGAUGUUGUGCGUCGUUUUUUGUUCUUCAUGUGAAGAACACAUGAUGAACAAAAAACGACGCAUAGCGUCGUUUUAUUGAAGGAAAAAUAAAAAAAAAAACAAAAAAAAAAGACAUUGUCCGUCAUAUUUUGAGAAAAAUAAAAUCUUUUUUUUCAUAAUGAAGACAAAAAUCAACGUUGGCCUUCGCUUUUUAAAAAUUUUAUUUUAAAAAAUUCCAGAAAAGCGACGGACAAAAUGGACCAUAUCCGUCGCUUUUCUGCAUUCUUUUUGAAUGCAAAAAUAUGCACUUUUUGCAUCCCACCUGCCAAAUAAAAAUGCAAUCCAAUAUAUACAGCCUCAUGCAACACACAUUUCUAAAAUAAUCAUACAACGCACUACAUUAUCAAAACAUUUAAGCAAUUCAAAUCAACAACGCAUAAACAAUCAAAUCCAAAAUACAAAACACUUAAUAAUUAAUCCAAUAACCACCAAAACACUUGAACAAUCCGAAAGUUUUUUCAUUGGAGUCUACAGGUGUCCGAGAUUUCUUUUUAGCAGUUGACUUUGAACUCUUAUCAAGACGAGACCAAUCACCGUCACCAUCGGAUGUCAUUUGUAUGCAAGUUUACAUCAAAACAUAUAAAAAUAAAGUCAUUAGUUCAUAUUUCAUGUGACUACACUUACUACUUUCAAGUUACUAGUACACAUUUCAAGAUACUACACUCAAACCAUUUUCAAAUAUUUAACUGACAUUUUAUUUCACUAUACUUAACCAUUUAAAAAUAAGUAGUAGACAUUUCAAGUAACUACACUUAACCAUUUUCAAGUCACUACUACACGUUUAAGUCAUUAUACUUAAACAUUUUCAAAUAACUAAUUUACAUUGAAAGUCACCACACUUAAAAUAUUUUCAAGUCGCUAAUAUACAUUUCAAAUCACUACACUUAACUAUUUUCAAUUAACUAAAUCACAUUUCAAGUCAAUAUACUUAAUCAUUUUCAAGUGACUAUACUUUAUUAUUUUAAAGUUAUUAGUACACAUUUCAAGUGACUACACUUAACCAUUUUUAAGCAUUCAUGUACUAGCAUUUCAAGUCACUACACUUAACUAUUUUCAAUUAACUAAUUCACAUUUUAAAGUCACUAUACUUAACUAUUUUCAAAUAACUACACUUAAUCAUUUUCAAGUUACUAGUACACAUUUCAAGUCACUACACCCAAACCAUUUUCAAAUAGCUAACUAACAUUUCAAGUCACUAUACUUAAGCAUUUUCAAAUAACUACACUUAACCAUUUUCAAGUCACUAGUACACAUUUCAAGUCACUACACUUAACCAUUUUCAAAUAAGUAGUAGACAUUUCAAGUCACUAAACUUAACCAUUUUUAAAUAACUAAUUCACAUUUCAAGUCACCACACUUAACCAUUUUCAAAUAAUUAAUUCACAUUUCAAGUCACCACACUUAACCAUUUUCAAAUAAUUAAUUCACAUUUAAAAUAACUAUACUUAACCGUUUUCAAGUCACUACACUUAAUCAUUCAUUUCAAGUCACUAUACUUAACCACUUUCAAGUAACUAAUUCUCACUAUACUUAACCAUUUUCAAGUAACUACACUUAACCAUUUUCAAGUCAUAAACUAGCAUUUCAAGUCACUAUACUUAAUCAUUUUCAAGUCACAAGUUCUCAAUUUCAAGUAACUACAUUUAAUCAUUUUCAAGUCACUGUACUUAAUAAUUUUCAAAUAACUUAUUCACAUUUCAAGUCACUACACUUAAACUAUUUUCAAUUAACGAAUUCAUAUUUUUAAGUCACUAUACUUAACCAUUUUUAAGUAACUACACUUAACCAUUUUCAAGUCAUGUACUAGCAUUUCAAGUCACUACACUUAAACUAUUUUCAAUUAACGAAUUCAUAUUUUUAAGUCACUAUACUUAACCAUUUUCAAAUAACUACAUGUAACCAUUUUCAAGUCACUAGUACACAUUUCAAGUCACUACAUUUAAUCAUUUUUAAAUAACUAAUUCACAUUACAAGUCACUAUACUUAACUAUUUUUAAUUAACUAAUUCAUAUUUCAAGUCAAUAUACUUAAUCAUUUUCAAGUGAAUAUACUUUAUUAUUUUAAAGUUAUUAAUACACAUUUCAAGUGACUACACUUAACCAUCUCAAGUCUCAAGUUCACAAUUUCAAGUAACUACACUUAACCGUUUUCAAGUCACAAGUUCGUAAUUUCAAGUAACUACACUUAAUCAUUUUUAAGUAACUACAAUUAACCAUUUUCAAUUCACUAUAAUGCAUAGGAAAUAUCUUUUAUGAACGAAAUAAUCAUUACUUGACGAUUUGUUAAAGCAAUAACGAAAUUAAAUCAAAAUUUAAAGUAAAAAUCACGAAAAUUUUAAUCUAGAAAACUGAUUGCUAACAAGGCAAACAAACAUGCAACUUAAGGUAUUGAGAAAUCAAAUCGAACAAUAAUCGCAGAUAAGUUCAUCACCUGUGUCCUGAUUUCGCUAUUCUUGGGGUCCCUUUCGACCAAAAUUAGCGAAACGGUUGCAUUGUUGUUGCUAUUUCACAGGCGACAGUGAUGGUUGCUGCUCAGAGAAGGAGAACGGAGAGGGAAACGACAUUGACUAGCUGGAGCUGGUGAUGUAGCGGUUGCUGGUGUCAGUUCUCAUUGGAAGAGAAGGAGAGAGAGGGGCGCCGAUGGGUUUCACUAUUUGGUGGCAGUUUUUGAUAAAUCGUCGCCAGUUAAGCACCGAUUGGAGGUGGUUGCUGGUAGCGUGGCGGCACUUAGCUGGACGGCGGCAUCGAGAGAAGUAAAGGAGGAAGGCAGUGGUGCGACGCUCAUUUUUGCCAAACCUGGGCGGGUUCAUUGAUGGGUGGAGGACACCGGUGGGUAGGUGAUUGGAUCAACGGUGGGGUCCGCCAUCUGGUGGCAUGAGGGCUGCGACAUCGCCGCUUGAUUGAUGAUGGAGAAAAGGUUUAGGGAGGGAGAAAGAUUGCAGAGAGAGAGAGGGAGAUAAGGUGUGCCUGUUUGUGG
rnacentral:lncRNA from 1 species